rnacentral:rRNA from 1 species
CCCUAUUAUUCUAUCAUUGUAUAAUAAUUCAAAGAAAAAAAACAAAAUAAAUUUGACGGUAUUAAAUUUUACAAAGGAAUUUGUUUCAAAAUCGAAAAUACACGACAAACCUUACUUAAUAAAUAUUUGUAUACCACCGUAUAAAGUAAUUAUUCCAAAUAAAAUACAAAAAAAAUUAUUUUUAAAUAUCAGGUCAAGGCGCAAUUUUAUUAAGAUGAAAUGAAUUACAUUUAUAUUAUAAAUCUAUAAAAACUGAAAAUUUUUUAAAAACAGAAUUUGUUAGUAAAAUAUAAUCAUCAUGUUUUUUUGAAAAAUAACAUUAAUAUGUACAUAUCGCCCG